rnacentral:rRNA from 1 species
GACGAACGCUGGCGGCGUGCCUAAUACAUGCAAGUCGAGCGAGCGGAACCAACAGAUUUACUUCGGUAAUGACGUUGGGAAAGCGAGCGGCGGAUGGGUGAGUAACACGUGGGGAACCUGCCCCUAAGUCUGGGAUACCAUUUGGAAACAGGUGCUAAUACCGGAUAAUAAAGCAGAUCGCAUGAUCAGCUUUUGAAAGGCGGCGUAAGCUGUCGCUAAGGGAUGGCCCCGCGGUGCAUUAGCUAGUUGGUAAGGUAACGGCUUACCAAGGCGACGAUGCAUAGCCGAGUUGAGAGACUGAUCGGCCACAUUGGGACUGAGACACGGCCCAAACUCCUACGGGAGGCAGCAGUAUGGAAUCUUCCACAAUGGACGCGAGUCUGAUGGAGCAACGCCGCGUGAGUGAAGAAGGUUUCGGAUCGUAAAGCUCUGUUGUUGGUGAAGAAGGAUAGAGGUAGUAACUGGCUUUAUUGAUGGAAUCAACCAGAAGUGCGGUAACUACGUGC